rnacentral:rRNA from 1 species
UACAGAGGGGGCAAGCGUUAUUCGGAAUUAUUGGGCGUAAAGGGCGCGUAGGCGGUUCUUUAAGUGAGAUGUGCAAUCCCCGGGCUCAACCUGGGAACUGCAUCUCAUACUGGAGGGCUAGAGCGCUGGAGAGGGUGGUAGAAUUCCACGUGUAGCGGUGAAAUGCGUAGAGAUGUGGAGGAAUACCAGUGGCGAAGGCGGCCACCUGGACAGUGACUGACGCUGAGGCGCGAAAGUGUGGGUAG